rnacentral:tRNA from 1 species
GGCCCCUUAGCUCAGUGGUUAGAGCAGUCGACUCAUAAUCGAUUGGUCCGCAGUUCUUAUUUGGGGUUU